rnacentral:snoRNA from 14 species
CUUGUAUCUUAGUGCUUGUAGUCUGAAAAAACUCAUAAAUUCUCAGUGUUCUCAUCAGCUUCCGUCUCCUUAACCAUGAGACUUGAGUUAAACAAGAUCACUACAUUA